AACGAACGCUGGCGGCAGGCUUAACACAUGCAAGUCGAACGGGCGUAGCAAUACGUCAGUGGCGGACGGGUGAGUAACACGUGGGAAUAUGCCUUUCGGUUCGGAACAACUCGGGGAAACCCGUGCUAAUUCCGGAUACGCCCUUACGGGAAGGAUUUAUCGCCGAAGAUUAGCCCGCGUUGGAUUAGCUAGUUGGUGAGGUAAAGGCUCACCAAGGCGACGAUCCAUAGCUGGUUUGAGAGAACGACCAGCCACACUGGGACUGAGACACGGCCCAGACUCCUACGGGAGGCAGCAGUGGGGAAUCUUGGACAAUGGGCGCAAGCCUGAUCCAGCCAUGCCGCGUGAGUGAUGAAGGCCUU
rnacentral:rRNA from 1 species